rnacentral:rRNA from 1 species
CCUACGGGUGGCAGCAGUGGGGAAUAUUGCACAAUGGGGGAAACCCUGAUGCAGCGACGCCGCGUGAGUGAAGAAGUAUCUCGGUAUGUAAAGCUCUAUCAGCAGGGGAGAAAAUGACGGUACCUGACUAAGAAGCCCCGGCUAACUACGUUCCAGCAGCCGCGGUAAUACGUAGGGGGCAAGCGUUAUCCGGAUUUACUGGGUGUAAAGGGAGCGUAGACGGCGCUGCAAGUCCGGAGUGAAAGCCCAUGGCUUAACCAUGGUACUGCUCUGGGAACUGGGGAGCUUGAGUGCGGGAGGGGCAGGCGGAAUUCGUGGUGUAGCGGUGAAAUGCGUAGAUAUUAGGAGGAACACCGGCGGCGAAGGCGGCCUGCUGGACCGUUACUGACGUUGAGGCUCGAAGGUGCGGGGAGCAAACAGGAUUAGAUACCAUGGUAGUC